rnacentral:rRNA from 1 species
UCUCUGCUCAGGACGAACGCGGGCGGCGUGCCUAAUACAUGCAAGUCGAGCGGACUUAAAAAGCUUGCUUUUUAAGUUAGCGGCGGACGGGUGAGUAACACGUGGGCAACCUGCCUGUAAGACUGGGAUAACUUCGGGAAACCGGAGCUAAUACCGGAUAAUCCUUUCCUACUCAUGUAGGAAAGCUGAAAGACGGUUUACGCUGUCACUUACAGAUGGGCCCGCGGCGCAUUAGCUAGUUGGUGAGGUAACGGCUCACCAAGGCGACGAUGCGUAGCCGACCUGAGAGGGUGAUCGGCCACACUGGGACUGAGACACGGCCCAGACUCCUACGGGAGGCAGCAGUAGGGAAUCUUCCGCAAUGGACGAAAGUCUGACGGAGCAACGCCGCGUGAGUGAUGAAGGUUUUCGGAUCGUAAAACUCUGUUGUUAGGGAAGAACAAGUACGAGAGUAACUGCUCGUACCUUGACGGUACCUAACCAGAAAGCCACGGCUAACUACGUGCCAGCAGCCGCGGUAAUACGUAGGUGGCAAGCGUUGUCCGGAAUUAUUGGGCGUAAAGCGCGCGCAGGCGGUCCUUUAAGUCUGAUGUGAAAGCCCACGGCUCAACCGUGGAGGGUCAUUGGAAACUGGGGGACUUGAGUGCAGAAGAGAAGAGUGGAAUUCCACGUGUAGCGGUGAAAUGCGUAGAGAUGUGGAGGAACACCAGUGGCGAAGGCGACUCUUUGGUCUGUAACUGACGCUGAGGCGCGAAAGCGUGGGGAGCAAACAGGAUUAGAUACCCUGGUAGUCCACGCCGUAAACGAUGAGUGCUAAGUGUUAGAGGGUUUCCGCCCUUUAGUGCUGCAGCAAACGCAUAAGCACUCCGCC